UACUCUCCGUUAAGCGAAAAGAGAAGCCCAUUUAACGGAGACGACGCGAUGAAGAAGGCAGCCACGCCGUCGAGGGGAAUUGGGAACGGAUCGGCCGGCGGCGGCGGAGGCGGCGGCCUCUUCUCGAGGUCGCCGGAGAGCCGGCGAUGCGUGAGAUUUCCGGCGAGAUCGCUGCCGUUCUCCGGGGAGUUCGCCACCCUGGGGCUGACGCCGUCCGCGUCCAAGUCCGACGUCAAGCGCGCCUACAAACGCCUGGCCUUGAAGUACCACCCGGAUGUGAUGAGAGGGGAGAAGGGGGUCCAAGAGGAGGAAGCCUUUAAGGAGAUCAAAUCUGCAUACGAGAGAUGCUGUAAGACUAAGAACUUGAAAGAGUCUUCAGAUUUGACCAGCAUCUAUGAGCUUCUUAAUGACAUUGAUUCUGAUCUCAUUCAGGUGAGUUAUGAUGGUCUCUUGGAUAUUGUUAAGAAUUGCACAUUUCUUGGACUUGCUGAUGAAGUUUUUGCAUUGAUACAGCACAAUACUCAUCUGUACCUAAUGAAUGUGGUUUCUGUGAGGAGUUGAAAACAGGGAGAACGAUUAGCAGUGAUAGAUUGCAAGGCGGCUUGUAUCUUCUGGAUGACAAUUGUGGUCUCUCAAAUCCUGAUCCCAACCAAGCUUUGUUAAGACAUUCUAUAAGUGCUGAACAAGAGACCAUCCAGUGGCAUAGGCGAUUAUGGCAUCCUUCUUUUUCUGCUUUAAAAAGAUUAUAUCUUAUUUUGUUUAGACAAUGCAAAUCAGAAUUGCUAGUUUGUGAUGCUUGUUAAUUUGCUAAACACACAAGACAUUCUUAUCCUCCAAUAAAUAUUAAGAGUUUGGUUCCUUUUAUGGCUAUUCAUUUUGAUGUAUGGGGGCCUAUCCGAAUAGGUUCUUUGUUUGGUUAUAGAUGGUUUGUCAUUUUUAUUGAUUGUUGCACUAGAUUGACUUGGGUUUACUUGAUGAAAGCAAAAAAUGAAGUAUUUUCUUACUUUCAACAGUUUCAUAAGAUAAUUUGUACACAGUUGGAUGCUCAAGUUAAGAUUCUAAGGACUGAUAAUGAUACUGAAUAUAUAAAUGAAGUCUUUCGUACCUAUUUACAUUCAAAUGGAAUUGUGCAUCAGACUAGUUGUAUAAAUACUAGUGCACAAAAUGGAGUGUCAGAGAGAAAGAAUAAACAUUUACUUGAGGUGGAUCGAUCCCUUAUGUUUACCAUGAACCUUCCUACACCUUACUAGGGGGAUGCUGUUCUUUCUGCAGCCUAUCUUAUCAAUAGAAUGCCUCUUAGAAUACUGAACUUUAAGAGUCCUUUAGAGGUUUUACAGGGUAGUAAUUCUUAUACUGUUCCCCUAAAGAUCUUUGGUUGUGUUUGUUUUGUUCAUAAGACAAAUGUUGGAAAGUUAAAACCUAGAGCUCUUAAAUGUGUGUUUGUAGAUUACUCUGGUACUCAAAAGGGAUAUAAAUGUUACCAUCCACCUUCAAGAAAAUAUUUUGUUAGCAUGGAUGUCACAUUUAAGGAAUCUGAGCCUUAUUUCUCCACUCAGUCACCUCUUCAGGGGGAGCAUAAGAAUGAAAAGAUGUCCUCCUCAUGUUAUCCUCUUUAGGGAGAGAUUCUUAAGCUUGAGACAGACCUUAAUGAGGAUAACAAGGACCAACCACCUCAACCCCUAAAGAGAUUGGAUAGACUGGAUUUGAGAACUUACACACAUCAGAACAAGACAAAUAUAGUCAUUGAGCAUGAUACACCUGAUCAACCGGCAUCCUUGAAUUCAGUUUCUGAAUAUUUUGAAGAUUUAUGUGAUGAAUACCGUGUUGCUCCAGCAAAAAGCACAGAUGCUUGAUGAGCUUUUCUGCUUCCUCACGGAUCAAGAAGGGAAGCUGACAAGGCUUCCUGUCAUACUCGACGAGCAUACUCCGGACAUGAACCAUGUUCCGGAAUUUUUGUUGAGUUUGGAGAAUGAUGUAGGUCCUGAAACUUAUUUUCAAUCUUGGUAAUCAAUACUUCUUGAGAUCUUCAGCAUAUAAAUUAUUAUAGGUCUGUCUUUCAGGACAGAAUUUGGAUGAGUUUAUAACUGCAUUUUGGUUUAACCCAUUCUUAGCUUGUCUUUAGACUCCUAUAAAAGAAUCGGUUGCAGUCUGAUGAGUAAUAUUUUUCAUUCUUCCCCA